AACGCGAAGAACCUUACCUGGGUUUGACAUCCUCUGACAAACGUAGAGAUACGUCUUUCGUAGCAAUACGACAGAGUGACAGGUGCUGCAUGGCUGUCGUCAGCUCGUGUGGUGACAUGUUGGGUUAAGUCCCGCAACGAGCGCAACCCUUGUCUUUAGUUGCCAGCAUUAAGUUGGGCUCUCUAAAGAGACUGCCGUGGUGAACACGGAGGAAGGUGGGGAUGACGUCAAGUCCUCAUGGCCUUUAUAUCCAGGGCGACACACGUGAUACAAUGGACGGUACAGAGGGAAGCGAAACCGCGAGGUGGAGCCAAUCUCAAAAAGCCGUUCUCAGUUCGGAUUGGAGUCUGCAAUUCGACUCCAUGAAGUUGGAAUCGCUAGUAAUCGCGGAUCAGCACGCCGCGGUGAAUACGUUCCCGGGCCUUGUACACACCGCGCAUA
rnacentral:rRNA from 1 species